rfam:Coprococcus catus GD/7 draft genome.
AAUUAAUACUCAGGAGAGUCUCUUCACAAUGCAUUAUGCAAAAUACAAAGGAAGAGCGCCGAAGGUGUACACAGUUGCGGUGUUUUUGAUUGAAUACGCCCAACUGCAAAUCUCUCAGGCAAAAGGAUGGAGGAAAAAGA